rnacentral:rRNA from 1 species
GACGAACCGUGCGAACGUUGUUCGGAAUCACUGGGCUUAAAGGGCGCGUAGGCGGGCCACCAAGUCUGGGGUGAAAUCCUUCGGCUUAACCGGAGAAUUGCCUGAGAUACUGGUGGUCUUGAGGGAGGUAGGGGCACGCGGAACUUCCGGUGGAGCGGUGAAAUGCGUUGAUAUCGGAAGGAACGCCGGUGGCGAAAGCGGCGUGCUGGCCCUCUUCUGACGCUGAGACGCGAAAGCGUGGGGAGCAAACAGG